UUGAACGCUGGCGGCAGGCCUAACACAUGCAAGUCGAGCGGAUGAAGGGAGCUUGCUCCUGGAUUCAGCGGCGGACGGGUGAGUAAUGCCUAGGAAUCUGCCUGGUAGUGGGGGAUAACGUCCGGAAACGGGCGCUAAUACCGCAUACGUCCUGAGGGGAAAGUGGGGGAUCUUCGGACCUCACGCUAUCAGAUGAGCCUAGGUCGGAUUAGCUAGUUGGUGGGGUAAAGGCCUACCAAGGCGACGAUCCGUAACUGGUCUGAGAGGAUGAUCAGUCACACUGGAACUGAGACACGGUCCAGACUCCUACGGGAGGCAGCAGUGGGGAAUAUUGGACAAUGGGCGAAAGCCUGAUCCAGCCAUGCCGCGUGUGUGAAGAAGGUCUUCGGAUUGUAAAGCACUUUAAGUUGGGAGGAAGGGCAGUAAGUUAAUACCUUGCUGUUUUGACGUUACCAACAGAAUAAGCACCGGCUAACUUCGUG
rnacentral:rRNA from 1 species